rnacentral:rRNA from 1 species
AACGAUAUUGGAAGCUUGCUUCCGAUAGGCGUCGACCGGCGCACGGGUGAGUAACGCGUAUCCAACCUGCCCAUCACUUGGGGAUAACCUUGCGAAAGUAAGACUAAUACCCAAUGACGUCUCUAGAAGACAUCUGAAAGAGAUUAAAGAUUUAUCGGUGAUGGAUGGGGAUGCGUCUGAUUAGCUUGUUGGCGGGGUAACGGCCCACCAAGGCGACGAUCAGUAGGGGUUCUGAGAGGAAGGUCCCCCACAUUGGAACUGAGACACGGUCCAAAACUCCUACGGGAGGCAGCAGUGAGGAAUAUUGGUCAAUGGGCGAGAGCCUGAACCAGCCAAGUAGCGUGCAGGAUGACGGCCCUAUGGGUUGUAAACUGCUUUUAUAAGGGAAUAAAGUGAGAGUCGUGACUCUUUUUGCAUGUACCUUAUGAAUAAGGACAGGCUAAUUCCGUGCCAGCAGCCGCGGUAAUACGGAAGGUCCGGGCGUUAUCCGGAUUUAUUGGGUUUAAAGGGAGCGUAGGCCGGAGAUUAAGCGUGUUGUGAAAUGUAGACGCUCAACGUCUGCACUGCAGCGCGAACUGGUUUCCUUGAGUACGCACAAAGUGGGCGGAAUUCGUGGUGUAGCGGUGAAAUGCUUAGAUAUCACGAAGAACUCCGAUUGCGAAGGCAGCUCACUGGAGCGCAACUGACGCUGAAGCUCGAAAGUGCGGGUAUCGAACAGGAUUAGAUACCCUGGUAGUCCGCACGGUAAACGAUGGAUGCCCGCUGUUGGUCUGAAUAGGUCAGCGGCC